ensembl:lncRNA
GGGAAAGCGACCAUGGGGGCAUGUCGGCCCCCACCGCGCGCUUCAGAGACUCAGAUUACGGCCGCUGCGGCAGCUCCAGGACAAGAGACAGUCCGUCGGAGGAGGCAGCCGCCCGCCUUUUCCCGUUCGCUUCCUUUCGGCAGCGAGGAAAAGCUCCUCUGCAACGUGAGGCUGCAGCCAACACGGCUCCCCGCCGUCCCUCCACUCCACACAUGCUNGGUGGGAGCCGCCGCCGCCUGAGCCACUGCAGUGCUGCUUCCUCAUCCGACACCCACCGCCUUGUGUGCCUUCCCAGCAGCAGGGUGUGCGUGAGAAGCGGCCGGGAGGGGACGGCCGCGGGUCUCGGUGCACUUCGCCGGCUCCCCCCACCCGCACCACUCGCAAAUUACUUCACAGGGGAGGGGAGGGGAGGAAUCGGUGGUGCAGGAUUGUGUGCCCUUCCCAAACCUUUUCCCGCAAAAACCAAAGAGGGGAGGGAGGUUUACUCACCAACUGCCUCGCUCGCCUCCCCCUCACGAGGCGGCUGCUGCCGCUGCUGCCUGGCUUUCUUUACAAGGCAGGAGAGUAGUGGGCUCUCUCAGGGGCGUCAGAAGUGGGUCUCUCGGAAGGAAGCCUGCAAAGUUUGCAUUGGCGGUGGCCCGGCGAUGAUUGGUGACGGGGCUGGGGAGCCCCCCUUGGGGCGGGGAGCUAGAGAUUCCCCCCCCCUGUCUCCACGACCGUCUCUCUUUGCCUGCUGACUGACUGGCUGCUCGUCGUCAAUGCUCCGUUGUCCCGACGCAGGGGUGAACUUUCCACCGAGGCGGCGGGGGAGCCCCUUGUUUGCACUUGCAGCGCCCUCCCCGCAUUGGCACCGCACACCCAAGCGCGCGCGCGCUCGCUCUCUCGCUCAGGGCAGGGGGCUGCUGCUGCGACGACGGCGUCUCGCUCUCGCCUCCUCACUCGGACAAUUGCGCGUGUGUACGACUGACACUGACUCUGUGGACGCUUUAUGGGUAUACGCGUGUGCAGGCACCGCGCAGCCCUCGCUGCGUACAAGGCGAGGCGCGAGCAAGGCGAGCCCCAAGGAGCGGAGGUGCAGUCCACGCCCAAACUCGGCUCGCUCCCCGCCCACAUGUCACUCACAGGCGCCCGGAGCAGCUGAUAGGCGUUCGGCACAACCUUCGGGAGCCCCAUGGAGGCUCCCUGACUGCUCCGACCUCGUGGUGGGCUGCAGGGCCUGUCAAUCACGCCCAGAGCUGCCGAAGCCUGGCCCCGCCCGUCGUUCGCUGCUGCUGCUGCUGCUGCUGCUGCUGCUGCUGCUGCUGACGCCUCUUGGCCUGGGAGACUGGGAAGGAAGGAACGAUGAGAGAACGGCAAAGGAGGGGGGCGCUUUUCUGCCCAUAGACUUGUUAUCGUCUGAGUGUCGUCCCANCAUUUUUUCUGCUUUUCCUCAUCCCGUUGCUGAUCCUGCUUCCAUUGGAACCUGCUGCGUCUGCACUGUUGUCUUCUCUGAAUUGCUCUCCCGUGUACACGGCGGACGGAGGGAUGAUGCGAAAUUGCCGGGAUGGGAAAUGAGCAGCAGGGCGUGAGGAGGAAGCCACACCCGGCCGGUCGGGAGAGAGAGCGGGUCACACAAAGGAAUCAAGCUCGCUCGGGGGCCUUCCACACGGUUGAGUUCUCUAGAUUAAAACCCGCUAGAAAUAUUGCUUACUCCACCACUCUUCUGUUUACACCAACAUAGAUCCCAGCGGCUCAUUCUUACAGGCAAUUGAUUCUUUUUGGAGGGGGGGAGGGAAAGAGGAAUAUGGUUUAGUUUUUGCCCCUAUUUAACCACCACCAACAUUGUAGAAGAAUAUCCGUAAUUUUAAGAAUAUCCUGGAAUUCAGAAGUAUGAAUUGUAGAAGAAUAUCGUGGAAUUCAGAGUAUGAAAUCUGCAAGAAUUGUUAUGACACAAUUAACUCCUUGGAAAGUAAGUUCAUGUAAAUAUUCACCCCUUGUGUUACAUAAUACAGUACUAACAAAAUGCUCAUUGUCCUGGAUGCCAAGGAAGGCUAUGAAUAUUACAGACUGGACUCCUGGGUGGGGGCACAGCUAUACAGUGUGUGUGAGAGGAGUUUAGGACCAAUAAUGUGUACUAUUCCGUAGUCACCAAGUUUAAAAUGAGUGUAUUACUUGCAAGAUCCUAAGAAUUUCUGUGAAAUAUAGCCGUUCCUACAUCAUGCCAAGUGAUGCAUAUCCUGGUAGAACCUUAUAAAACUGACUGGCAACUAGACUUACUCAGGAUGAUUCCACAUUGGCCAAUAUANUGGACAAGCAAGCAUACUAGGAGGUCUCUCGUUAAACACGCCCAGAGCCUCCCUUAGAUUGCACCAGAGUGUGGAAGGAAAGCUUCUAGUACGCUUACUGGUCCAGAAUAUCAGCCAGUGCACAAUUGCCCUCAAACUGUGUGAUUUCACUGCAAUGAAAGAUAAUGUUGCCACUGUCUCCUUUUGCCUAUAUGGCUAAAGUCCAGGACCAAAUUAACCAGGAGGCAAACUAUUACCCGUUUUCACUCCUUUCGUAGCAUUGAAAGCCUUGAAAAAGUGGAAAGUUCUGUUUCUUGGCCCUACUAGAAUCAUGACAGGAUACAGAAAUUCGCUUUUUGUCCAAUAAAUAGCCAAGACACUUGACA